rnacentral:rRNA from 1 species
CUUGAUGAACGCUGGCGGCGUGCCUAAUACAUGCAAGUCGAACGAGUUCUGAUUAUUGAAAGGUGCUUGCAUCUUGAUUUAAUUUUGAACGAGUGGCGGACGGGUGAGUAACACGUGGGUAACCUGCCCUUAAGUGGGGGAUAACAUUUGGAAACAGAUGCUAAUACCGCAUAAAUCCAAGAACCGCAUGGUUCUUGGCUGAAAGAUGGCGUAAGCUAUCGCUUUUGGAUGGACCCGCGGCGUAUUAGCUAGUUGGUGAGGUAACGGCUCACCAAGGCAAUGAUACGUAGCCGAACUGAGAGGUCGAUCGGCCACAUUGGGACUGAGACACGGCCCAAACUCCUACGGGAGGCAGCAGUAGGGAAUCUUCCACAAUGGACGCAAGUCUGAUGGAGCAACGCCGCGUGAGUGAAGAAGGCUUUCGGGUCGUAAAACUCUGUUGUUGGAGAAGAAUGGUCGGCAGAGUAACUGUUGUCGGCGUGACGGUAUCCAACCAGAAAGCCUCGGCUAACUACGUGCCAGCAGCCGCGGUAAUACGUAGGUGGCAAGCGUUAUCCGGAUUUAUUGGGCGUAAAGCGAGCGCAGGCGGUUUUUUAAGUCUGAUGUGAAAGCCCUCGGCUUAACCGAGGAAGUGCAUCGGAAACUGGGAAACUUGAGUGCAGAAGAGGACAGUGGAACUCCAUGUGUAGCGGUGAAAUGCGUAGAUAUAUGGAAGAACACCAGUGGCGAAGGCGGCUGUCUGGUCUGUAACUGACGCUGAGGCUCGAAAGCAUGGGUAGCGAACAGGAUUAGAUACCCUGGUAGUCCAUGCCGUAAACGAUGAAUGCUAGGUGUUGGAGGGUUUCCGCCCUUCAGUGCCGCAGCUAACGCAUUAAGCAUUCCGCCUGGGGAGUACGACCGCAAGGUUGAAACUCAAAGGAAUUGACGGGGGCCCGCACAAGCGGUGGAGCAUGUGGUUUAAUUCGAAGCAACGCGAAGAACCUUACCAGGUCUUGACAUCUUUUGAUCACCUGAGAGAUCAGGUUUCCCCUUCGGGGGCAAAAUGACAGGUGGUGCAUGGUUGUCGUCAGCUCGUGUCGUGAGAUGUUGGGUUAAGUCCCGCAACGAGCGCAACCCUUAUGACUAGUUGCCAGCAUUUAGUUGGGCACUCUAGUAAGACUGCCGGUGACAAACCGGAGGAAGGUGGGGAUGACGUCAAAUCAUCAUGCCCCUUAUGACCUGGGCUACACACGUGCUACAAUGGAUGGUACAACGAGUUGCGAGACCGCGAGGUCAAGCUAAUCUCUUAAAGCCAUUCUCAGUUCGGACUGUAGGCUGCAACUCGCCUACACGAAGUCGGAAUCGCUAGUAAUCGCGGAUCAGCACGCCGCGGUGAAUACGUUCCCGGGCCUUGUACACACCGCCCGUCACACCAUGAGAGUUUGUAACACCCGAAGCCGGUGGCGUAACCCUUUUAGGGAGCGAGCCGUCUAAGGUGGGACAAAUGAU